AAACCUUUCUUCUCUUUAAACAAAAUGGAGACAGUCACCUCCUCUACUCUUCUCUAUCACCCCCUUCCAUUCCGAUCACACUGUCGCCGGCAGCUUUACUCCAACGUGCCUUCCCCUUAGCCGCCGGAAACUUCGUUCUUAUCCUCUAUUUUUGUCGUCUUUUCGCUCACCCAAAAUCGAAACCUUCACUGUCCUAAAAAUCUGAAACCGUCAUCCUUUAAUUUCCCCCUUAAAAUUUCGAAAAUUUAAAGUAUUCAUGAAAAACUUUCUGGUCCCAUGCCAUUAGCAAGCUUUGCUUCCUUUACUCUUUUGAAUUUUGCUUUGCCUUGAUCAACUUUGAGAAUAUGCCUGAGCAAGGGCCUCCGGUGAAGCUGCACGAUCAUGGGAAAAUCAUGGAAGGAAGAGGCAUUGAUUACACAUAAAUUAAUGUUUUGUUCAUUCAUUUGUUGUGGUGUGCCUUUCUAUCAUUUUUUUUUCAGGGCGAUGCCAUUGCCUGUUAAUAUUUGUAUAAAGUUUGUAAUAAUUUUGUAAAAAAUUACUUUAAUUUUUGAUUAA